CACCUUGACAACACCCCCUGCAACACCUAUGUUACUCGAUGUGGCUAUGCUAGCCUCUAUGGUGAUAAACACCAUGUCAAGUACAUGAACUGGACCCGGGGGCGGUACCCGGCGCCUCCACCACCUCGCCCGUCGCCAAAAAAAGCAACGGACAAAUACGGGGGCGAAAUAGGAUCGACAGGCAUGGAAAAACAUGGCUUUUACCCGAAAGUGGUUCCGUCGUUAAUAAGAACCAACUCACAAGUGCCAACGACAAUGUUGCACUCGCUGCUUAACUUUUGAGCAAGCGCGGCCCGAGGAGCGCCGGGCAACAGAAGCUCCUCACC
rnacentral:tmRNA from 1 species